UACGGAGGGUGCAAGCGUUAUCCGGAUUCACUGGGUUUAAAGGGUGCGUAGGCGGAUAUGUAAGUCCGUGGUGAAAUCUCUGGGCUUAACCCGGAAACUGCCAUGGAUACUAUGUGUCUUGAAUACUGUGGAGGUCAGCGGAAUAUGUCAUGUAGCGGUGAAAUGCUUAGAUAUGACAUAGAACACCAAUUGCGAAGGCAGCUGGCUACACAAAUAUUGACACUGAGGCACGAAAGCGUGGGGAUCAAACAGG
rnacentral:rRNA from 1 species